AGUGAACGCUGGCGGUAGGCCUAACACAUGCAAGUCGGACGGCAGCACAGUAAGAGCUUGCUCCUACGGGUGGCGAGUGGCGGACGGGUGAGGAAUACAUCGGAAUCUACUUUUUCGUGGGGGAUAACGUAGGGAAACUUACGCUAAUACCGCAUACGACCUACGGGUGAAAGCAGGGGAUCUUCGGACCUUGCGCGAUUGAAUGAGCCGAUGUCGGAUUAGCUAGUUGGCGGGGUAAAGGCCCACCAAGGCGACGAUCCGUAGCUGGUCUGAGAGGAUGAUCAGCCACACUGGAACUGAGACACGGUCCAGACUCCUACGGGAGGCAGCAGUGGGGAAUAUUGGACAAUGGGCGCAAGCCUGAUCCAGCCAUACCGCGUGGGUGAAGAAGGCCUUCGGGUUGUAAAGCCCUUUUGUUGGGAAAGAAAAGCAGCAGGUUAAUACCCCGCUGUUCUGACGGUACCCAAAGAAUAAGCACCGGCUAACUUCGUG
rnacentral:rRNA from 1 species